rnacentral:rRNA from 1 species
AGGAUGAACGCUGGCGGCGUGCCUAACACAUGCAAGUCGAACGUCCUGUCUCGCAAGAGGCAGGGAGUGGCGGACGGGUGAGUACCACGUGGGUUAUCUACCGUGAGGUGAGGAAUACCGGCGAGAAAUCGCCGACAAGACCGCAUAGCCUCGGUGCAAGCCGAGGAAAGCUUUCUCGCAAGAGGGAGCGCCACACGAGGAGCCUGCGCCCGAUUAGCUAGCUGGUGGAGUAACGGUUCACCAGGGCGACGAUCGGUAGCUGGUCUGAGAGGACGAUCAGCCACACUGGGAUUGAGAACGGCCCAGACUCCUACGGGGGGCAGCAGUGAGGAAUUUUCGUCAAUGGGGGCAACCCUGAACGAGCAACGCCGCGUGCAGGAAGAAGGUUUUCGGAUCGUAAACUGCUUUUCUCGGGGAAGAGAACGGACGGUACCCGAGGAAUCAGCCCCGGCUAACUACGUGCCAGCAGCCGCGGUAA